UCUAAUCGGCGAUACCUUACCUUCCACCGCUGUUCAGUUUCGAUUCAUUCGUUAGCGCUGCCAGUUUGCAGAAUUCAGUCGUCGUGCAGUCAGAAGUGAACCGCACGUGUGAACCCGUCCGCCGUGAAGCCCAAACUCGUCUCGUCUCCACCACCUGUCACCAUUCUCCCUCACACGCGCGUGAUCUAAAUAAUCUUCAUCGACAUCAUCAACAGCCGCAUCGUUGUUAUCUUGCGUAGAUCACAUUAGAGUGGAGGCCAACGACUCACGCAUACGUUUAGGAGGAUGCAUUCCCGGACGACCAGCAAAAGCGACGAAGGCAGCGUUAGUGACUCAAGGUCGUCGAUUGGCAAGAGUGGGGAGAGCAAAGUGCGUCGUCAGCGCGGAGGCUGUAGAGCGCUGAUCCGAAAAGCCUGGGACUUUACUAAGCUAGUCUUCUUCACACUGUUGCACUUGUACCGGAGCAUGUCGGCGUUUUGGAGCCAGAUGCACGUUUGCAUGCUACCGGCGCUCGGGGAGCUGGACCAUCAGGAGGAACAGGAAGCAGAAGAGGCUAGGCAGCGGGAGUUAGAGCAGAAUCAGCAAGAGUCUUCGAAAUCACCCAAACGAAAACCGGUCUCGAAAAAGGACUGAUUGUUAUUUAUCAUAUUGUACAGUUAUCACAUCUAUUCGUUGUCGUCGUCGGGUUAGGUUUAGUGUGUUAUCUUUUAUUUUCAUUGGUGUCUGUAGCGUGUGUAGCGUCCCACUAAUCGGCGUUACGAGUCGUUGGACUCGUUUCGGGGCUCAGGGGUUGCUCAAGAAGCGCCUUAAUUGGAGGCCGACCACAGUGAACACAUUAGGUGCAAUUGUGAUUCUGUAAUAGCAUAUAAGACGUAAGCUGUGCUGCGAAACAAAAAAAGAAUGAAAAAAAAAACAACUGAAUAAAAAGGCAGAUUGAAUCAACCUACAAAAAGGAAAGAAUUCAUGAGUGCAUACACUUAAUUCCAGCGUCAUUCAUUUGCCUGCCAAAUUGACCACUUUUCUGCUGACGUUGCGGCGAUUCCGAAGCCCCGAUUAAGUGGUCAAUACAAGCUCGCGCGCGUGGAGUCGAUGCGAAAGACGUAUUACGUCGUGAGGAAGACAAUGGAUGCCUCGAAGCUACCAAAGGAAAACGAAUCGAGGGAGUUGGUCCCAGGAGAACCUCACCCUUGCAAAAGAGGCUAUUGCUAGUGGAGUUUCUAUUAAACAAGGUGGUAAGCUCGAAACUAGGACCAAAAGAGACCGUAUUUAUGGUGGAGCAGGAAGCGGAGAUCAUGCAGCACCUACUUGACCUAGAAAACCGAUAGAAUGCAAGAAAUGGGUUCAUGAGACAUGCUACACGGAUUUCGAUAUGACGUGCAUCUUUUGUUCUUAAGGUGUUUUUUAUGAAUUGAACUACUGAU